UCCGGCUUAACGCCGGCAGUCCCCCUAGAGUCCCCGGCCGAACCGCUGGCAACUGGGAGCGAGGGUUGCGCUCGUUGCGGGACUUAACCCAACAUCUCACGGCACGAGCUGACGACAGCCAUGCAGCACCUGUGCUAGCCCCUUACGGACACGGGCUUUCACCCGCUUUAACUAGCAUGUCAAACCCAGGUAAGGUUCUUCGCGUUGCAUCGAAUUAAGCCACAUGCUCCGCCGCUUGUGCGGGCCCCCGUCAAUUCCUUUGAGUUCCAACCUUGCGGUCGUACUCCCCAGGCGGGGUACUUCCUGCGUUAGCGCCGGCACCCAGAGGGUCGCUCCCCCAGGCACCUAGUACCCAUCGUUUACGGCGUGGACUAC
rnacentral:misc_RNA from 1 species